rnacentral:lncRNA from 1 species
AAAAAAAUCAAUAAAUAUCCAUCCUUGUUCUUGUUCUCAGUGCCUUAAAUUUCAAUUAAUCUUUGGCUGUCCUUUACAAUAAUCAGAAAUCUUUAAGUAAUUUCCGAACCUGCUCUAGUGUGACAAAUAGCACAACAGUAAAAGGUCCUUGUCUUGAAAUUGUUGGGAUAAAGCCCUUAUACAGGGCCAUAGGACCCUCUGCCUUGAUAGUCUUCAUUGCACAAUCUAAUGCACCCUUAUAAGGUGGUUCAACCCCGGGCUCAACCUUCAUGUUCAUAACUCUAGUCUUUAUCACAUCAAUAGGGUUUGAAGCAACGGAAGCCACAAAACCAGCCAGAAAACUUGCUGCGACAUGGGUGCCGAUCCCAUCACUCAUCAAACCCUUCUCCAAGAUCAUCUCCUUCGCUUGGUCAUAUGAUGCAAGCUGUGAUGCAGUCACAAUCAUCGCACGGUUGACAGUAAGACCCGAACCCCGCCACAGACUAGCGACACCCUCCUGCUUUGACAUUUGACUUAAGGCAUCGACAACACUCUUGUAAUUUCUGCGCUGAUCAAUCGGGAGACGUCCAUCAGCCUGCAUACGGACCAUCGCUACAUCCGCAGGGUUACCAACAGCAGCCCCGACAGCACCGGAGAUUAGUCCAGCCACGAUCUUACGUACAAGUGGCAUGGUAUUAGUAUCUGGAUCCGUCCAUUUAUGUUUGAGGACAUCAUAAAGGCCCAUACGGGUGGUGGAGUAUAAGGUUUGGCGGAGGAUGGUAGCGGAGACACCAGAGAAAAGGGCGGCAGCACCCUCGGAUUGGAUGAUACGGACACCAAUGGAAAGGGGUCCCACACGGGGUGGAGGAGGGAGUUCUAAGGUGGUUGGUAAGGAGAUGUUGGCCGUAGAGCUCAACGUAAAAGCAGGGCGAUAGGAUUGCACGGAGGAUAGAUUUGGGAUGUGGGAUUCACCUUGAAGUUGCAUACGGACCUUGAUUAAAUCCAAAGGAUGAGUGGAAGCACCGGCAAUGAUGGAGGCAACACCACCUUCAGCAAAACCUUUCAAACCCAUGAUAUAAUUUCUAAUGGGACUUUCAAAAGCUGAUGAUCAAACAAAGAAUUGAACGAUGUGAAUAUAUAUGAGAGAGAGAAGUGAGAUGUAGUGGUGUGUUGAUGAGUUUAUUGCCAUCAUCCAUCCAUUUUUAUAUAUAGUGUCGACUGGGAGCAGGGAAAGAACAGAGAAGCUUCCAACCUUCAUGGAAGCAUGACGCGGCAAUCCAACUACACAAGUGUUUUUGCUUGUGCCUCUUUAUGGCAGUCUUGGUUUGACCUUGACAAUUGAAUAAUCAUAUACUAUUCAACUCUCUGUCACCAAUGGUAUUUUAUUAUUUUUGGCACUUGUUCUUCGGGUUCCUUGAGAAAGACCUGAUCAACAUGCAAUAAAUUAACACUCGAUGUCUCGAUCAAUAACCCGUUGAUCCUGUCCAAAUUUAUUCUAAAUCUUUAGAAUUUCUUUCUCCAUAUAAUUUCAAUUUCAAGUUCUAUCCAGUACUCUGUUCUUUUUUUUUUUUUAGUUUAACGUGGGUGUCCGGGCUAACUUGCGUGCACCUCGACUAAUCCCAUGGACCAUGAAAUUAACGACCAUGUAAGCUUUCAGUGACCAUCAUAUGAGCAACCACAUGGCUCGAAUCUGAGAUCACAAAGAAAGCAAAUCUCUUGGUCCCAAACUCUUACCAUUAGACCACCACCUAGAUGGUUCCAAUACUCUGUUCUUUUCAUUUUUUGUCAUUAAUAUUCUGUUCUUUCCAUUUAUAAAACUACAUUAAAAAAAAGUUAUAGAGGGAAAAUCUAGGAAGUUUCAAAGUGUGUGUGUCUAUAUAUAUAUAUAUAUAUAUAUAUAUAUAUAUAUAUAUAUAUACACACAUGCGCGCGUACUAUAUUCCAGAAUAAACAUGCUAAAAUACACUGAAAUAAAAAUUUAUCGUUCUAAUAAAAAAAUUAAAAUACCAACCAGAAUAAAAUUGACAAUCUUACUACAAAUUCAUAUAAUAUUUAUAUUAGUCAUAGUUACUCAAGUAAAUUUUUAGAUUUUAAAAAUUAAAUAAAAAAUAAAAUAAAAUGAAACUCAUGAUCCAAAAAAAUAAAAAUGAUAGCAGAUAACCCCCCUAAUUAUUACAAAAAUCAGGUCCAUCAUUCAUGGUGAUAAAAAUUACUUGAUUAUCGAUAAAGUAGAUCUCAUUAUUAAAAGAAAAAAAAAACCUAAAAUAUAACCCACUUUUAUUUUGAGUUUUGUCUUUGUGACUAUGAAUGACAUUGUUUAUUUUAUAGUGCUUCGUGUUUUCUUAUAUAGUUUUCAAACUUUUUAUUUAUUUCAUAUGUUUGUAUCAAUUUAUUUUAUAAUUCUUUUAUUUAUUUAUUUUCAUAGGUCUCUUAGAGUGUUCCCUCUGUUGAUUAACAAUCAAUUUUAUAAAAAAGAAAUUAAUAUGCUGUUGGGAAAAAAAUGAAAGAGAAAGAAACAAAAUUAAAAAAAAAAGAUAGACCUUUUGUUUUUACUAUUCAAGAGGCAUCGAAAACUUUAGCAUGGUCCUAAAGUUUUAACUUUUUACAUAUUCCAUCCCUAUUAUUUGAGGAUUUUUUAUUUAGGCUGUAAACUUUAUUUUAUUUGUGUUUUGGUUUUAAUAUCAAGGGAUGAGAGAGAAAAUCUUUGAAAAAAAAAGAGAUAGAAAAUAUUAUGAUGUACGCAUUUAGACAAAAAAAAAUAAUCAAUAUUGAUACCAAAAAGUUUGUCUUAAAAAGUAGAACUCUAUAAGAAUGGUUUGAAACUUACUUCUUGUUGAAAAAGAGAAGAUCCAUGCUCAGGAUUUUUUUUUUUAAAUCCAUCUAAUAUUUUAUAUUUUUGUACUAAUUUUAUGGUAUUUUGGUGUUAGAAAUAAGUUUACUUGGGUUUUUAGAAUAUAUUUUUUAAUUGUUUUCUAGUGAAAACAAAUUGAAAAAUAGGUAUUUUAGAUCAAAGAAUCCAAAUCCUGACUUUCUAGUAAUUAGAGAUGGACUAAAUUUGAACCAUGACGAUGCAUCAUCCGUUUAUUGCGAACCAAGGCGCAUCUAAGCUCUGUUUUUGGGCUAGGCAUGCAACCCUAUCUUCUUAGGCCUAACACUUCAUUUUAUAUUACCCUUUAAUUUUUUUUUUCUGGAAUCAGAUUAAUUCACCAUGAAUAAAAAAAUUAUAUUUAAAAUAUUAUUUAUUUUUUAUGGUUUUCAAAUAAGAUUAUAUCUUUUAUAAUUAUGUUAAUAAUUACUUUGUUAGUUAUUAUAUAUAAAGCUAAUAUGUAAAAUUUUUAUAUAUAAAAAAAUAUACUUAUGAAAAUUAAUUGAAGAUAAAGUAUCUAUUUUGUUUCUUUUUAUUGUAAUUAAUAUAUUAUUUAAGAUUGCAUUUACUUUUAAUAUGUAAUAGGAUUAGUGGUAAGUGAUAACUUAAAACCAUGUGGCCACAUCGCAACCGCAAGAGACUCAAAGUUUUGGUUUGAAAAUUAAUUGAAAAAAAGUAGGAUGCUAAUUAAUUAGUUAAUUACAAAACCACAUUGAAAGUUCUCAUUGAAUAAGGUUCCGUGUUUUUCAUAAAAUGAUUUACAUGUAAAAUAUUUUUGAAUAUUUAGCUUGAAAAAUAUUUUUACAUUUUCACCGGUAAUAAUAAAGAAGGAGGUGAUUGUGGUAGUGACAUAGUGAUAAUAGUGAUGACAUUGCAAUAGUGGUGGAGAAAAUGAUCAUUACCACAUAUUCUAAAUGGUGUGGGGGAAUCACUGUUUCCCUACACACAAAGCACUGUGGAUUACAACAGUAAUCCACAGUGGUUUUUUUUUUUUUUGCUAACUUUUCUCUUUUCUCUUUUUAUUUUCUUUUUAUUUUCUUUUUAUUUUCCUUUUUUUUUCAAUUUUUUUUUCAAAAUUACUUUUUUUUUCAACUUUCCUAUUUUUUAUUUUUUUUCAUUUAUUUUUUAUUUUGUUUUUUCCAAAAUUAUUUUUUUUAUUUUACUUUUUAAAUAUUGACUUGGUUAAAAUUUUUGUUUUGUAAUUUUUUUCUUUAAAAUACUGUGGAUUGCUGCGAUGUUUUUCCACAUAAUUUUUCUAUUUUAUUUCUUUAUUUUUCAAAAUUAUAUUUGUCGAUUUUUUUUUAAUAUGGAGCUGAUUGAGAAUUUAGUUUUGUAAUUUUUUUUCUUUUAAACAUCGUUGAUUGCUACAAUGUUUCUCUGCAUGGUUUUUUUUAUAAUUUUCUCCGAAAUUAUCUUUUUUUAUUUUAUUUUUUAAUAUUGAGCUGGUUAAAAAUUACAGUCACAAUAUGUGAGGAAAGCACUGUAACUUUCCUCGAAAAUUACUGUUGAUUGCUACAGUGUUUUUUCCCACAUGGUUUUUUUCUGUUUUUGUUAUGUUUUUCCCUAAAAUUAUCUUUGUCAAUUUUAUUUUUUUAAUAUUAAGCUGGUUAAGAAUUGCAAUUACAAGUAAAUACAAGUUUUUCCUCACAAAACACUAUGGAUUGAUACAGGUUUUUCUCACAUGGUUUUUUUCCAGUUUCUUUUGUGUUUUCUUUUUUUCUAAUAUUUUUUUCCAAAAUUAUCUUUGUCGAUUUUUUUUUUUAAUAUUGAGUUGGUUAAAAUUUAACUUUGUAAUAAAGCUUAAUCAUGUGGGGAAAGUAUUGUAGCUUUGCUCAUAGAACAUUGUGGAUUGCUAUAGUGUCUCUCCGCAUAGUUUUUUUUUGUUAUAAUUUUUUUCAAAUUAUCUUUUUCAAUUUUAUUUUUUUAAUAUUGAGUUGUUUGUGAAUUACAAUUACAAGUCAUUACAAAUAAGACUAAAUCAUGUGGGGAAGCACUGUAGCUUUUAUCACAAAACACUGUGAAUUGCUACAAUGUUUCCAACAUGAUUGUUUUUCCUUUUUUUGGUGUUUGUUUUGUUAGUUUUUUUCCUGAAAUUGUCUCUGUUGUUGUUUUUUUUUUUUUUUUAAUAUUGAGCUGAUUAAGAAUUUAGCUUUGUAAUUUUUUUUCUUUAAAACACUGUGAAUUGUUGCAGUGUUUUUCCAUGUGAUUUUUUUAUGAUUUUUUCCAAAAUUAUCUUUGUCGAUUUUUUUUGAAUAUUGAGUUGGUUAAGAAUUAUAAUUACAAUAAAGCUAAAUCAUAUGAGGAAAACGUUGUAGUUUUUCUCAUAAAACACUGUGGAUUGCUACAAUAUUUCUCUAAAUGAUUUUUUAUUUUAUUUUAUUGGAAAAAGUGCUAUAGUUUUCCUCACAAAACAUUGUCAAUUGCUGCAACGUUUUUUCUCAUGGGUUUUUUUCCUUCCAAAAGUAUCUUUGUUAGUUUUUUUUUUAAUAUUAAGUUGGUAGAGAAUUUAGCUUUGUAAUUUUUUUUGCUUUUUAUUAACUGAAAAGCUAAAUCAUGUGGCGAAAGCACUGUAUUUUUCCUCACAAAACACUGUAGAUUGCUACAAAUUAUUUUGUUCAGUCUUUAAGUUUUUGAUCACCAACACAACUUUUUUUUCCGUCAUGAAAUAUUUGCUCCAUCAUACCUUUAAUUUCUAUUACUUAUCUAGCGUUGGUUCACAAUUAUAACACUAUCAAAUACAUUUGUUUUAUAAGCCCGCGGCAGCGCGCGGACAUGUCAUCUCGUGUGAUAGUAAAGAAGGAGAUGGUUGUGGCGUGGCAAUGAUAAUAAAAGAGAUGGUCGUGAGAUGAUAAUAAAAAAGAAGGUGGUGGUGAGGUGGUCGUCAUGAUAGUGAUGAAGUGACGAUGACGGUGAUUCUGGUAAGGUGAUCGUGGUGGUGGCGAGAUAAUAAUGGUGGUGGUGAAUGAGGAGCUAGUUGUAGUGGUGGUUAAGGAGGAAGUGGUGAUGAGGUGAUUGUGGUGGAUGUGAGAUGACGAUAGUGGUAAAAAAGGUGGUCGAGGUGGUGAUGGUGGAGGAGUCGGUGGUGAUGGUGAGAUGAAAGUAAUGGUUGAAAUAGUUAGAUAAUAUUGUAAAUUGAUUAUUAUUCUUAAAAUAUUUUACGGAAUUUCAUGAAAUAAAAAUUUGUAAACUAUUUUGCGGAAUUUCAUGAGCUGAAAAUAUUUUUCAGUAAAUAAACUAAGUUUGAAGGUUAACUAUAAAAUAUUUUAUACUGAUUAAUUUUCUUGUAAAUUAUUUUAUGUAAAACAAACAUAAAAAAAAUUUAAUUUUUUUUAAUGAUAAACAAAGAGACACUAAAUGUGAAUUGCAAUUGUGAUAGACAAACUUCUACUUGGCUGUAGAAUCACCCCACCAAUAUUGUGCGCUUUGGCAUAUCGAUUCACGUGCAGCAAAGAUAUAAUGCAACAUCAUUGUUCAAACCAUGGUGGUUGAGUUUUUCAAGCUCAUGCUGCUAAUCAGAACUUGCUGUAGAAGGGAGUUUGGUCCACCAAAAUGGCUGAUGAGAGGCUCAAACCAUGAAGAUCAUAUGGCAUCUUGGCAUAUCGCGUCUGCAUUGGAGGGUGAAAACGAAUGAUUGAACUUGCUGGGACAUCAUUUUUGGCAAGCUGUACAAUGGGCCUAAGAUCUAAUUAUGAUCCCAUUUGGGAUUAUCAUAUAUCUCUCUUUACAUCCUAAGCUAUGAUGAACUUCAUUCAUGCUAGCAUCUUCGAGUGCCAUGUGUUACUGUUAUGGCCCAACCUGGAGCUUAGUUUUCAAGUCCUAGCACCCUCAAUUCGAAAGCUGUUGAGGCUCGAUUUUGCUCCAAUGGAUGCUAGGGCCUGUUGUGCCUGCCAAAGUCCAGGACCCGGAGGCUUAAGAAGAGGGGGCUGGUUUUCAAAGCAGGGAGAACUAUAAGAAAACACAGAAUAGAAAUCUGGACAGCUGAAUACAAAGAUUAGGAAGAGAAAAACAAGAAGGAUUUUCAUCCUCAAGUAUCAUCUCUUAAUCAGACUAGCUUACUGUAAUUUUUAGUACAUUUCACCACUGAUCAUCCAAUUAUGUUCAACCACACACUCUAAUUAAACAAAUAAUGAAGGGGGAAAAAUUAUAUUGCUUCCAACAUGUAAUCAGAGUUGAACAAACAAAUCAAUGAAUAUACAAGCUUGAGAGCUUGUUCUACUGCCUUCCUUCAGUUUAGAUACAUCUUAAUCUAUCUUCAUCGUCAUAAUAAUUGAUCAGAAAUCUUUAAGUAAUUUCCGAACCUGCUCUAGUGUGACAAAUAGCACAACAGUAAAAGGUCCUUGUCUUGAAAUUGUUGGGAUAAAGCCCUUAUACAGGGCCAUAGGACCCUCUGCCUUGAUAGUCUUCAUUGCACAAUCUAAUGCACCCUUAUAAGGUGGUUCAACCCCGGGCUCAACCUUCAUGUUCAUAACUCUAGUCUUUAUCACAUCAAUAGGGUUUGAAGCAACGGAAGCCACAAAACCAGCCAGAAAACUUGCUGCGACAUGGGUGCCGAUCCCAUCACUCAUCAAACCCUUCUCCAAGA